UACGUAGGGUGCGAGCGUUAAUCGGAAUUACUGGGCGUAAAGCGUGCGCAGGCGGUUUUGUAAGUCAGAUGUGAAAUCCCCGGGCUUAACCUGGGAACUGCGUUUGAAACUACAAGGCUAGAGUGUAGCAGAGGGGGGUGGAAUUCCACGUGUAGCAGUGAAAUGCGUAGAGAUGUGGAGGAAUACCGAUGGCGAAGGCAGCCCCCUGGGAUAACACUGACGCUUAUGUACGAAAGCGUGGGUAGCAAACAGG
rnacentral:rRNA from 1 species